rnacentral:rRNA from 1 species
AUUGAACGCUGGCGGCAUGCUUUACACAUGCAAGUCGAACGGUAACAGGAGCUUGCUCCGCUGACGAGUGGCGAACGGGUGAGUAAUGCGUCGGAACGUGCCGAGUAGUGGGGGAUAACGCAGCGAAAGUUGUGCUAAUACCGCAUACGUACUGAGGUAGAAAGUGGGGGACCUUCGGGCCUCACGCUAUUCGAGCGGCCGACGUCUGAUUAGCUAGUAGGUGAGGUAAGGGCUCACCUAGGCGACGAUCAGUAGCGGGUCUGAGAGGAUGAUCCGCCACACUGGGACUGAGACACGGCCCAGACUCCUACGGGAGGCAGCAGUGGGGAAUUUUGGACAAUGGGCGAAAGCCUGAUCCAGCCAUGCCGCGUGUCUGAAGAAGGCCUUCGGGUUGUAAAGGACUUUUGUCGGGGAGGAAAUCCCCAGCGCUAAUACCGCUGGGGGAUGACAGUACCUGAAGAAUAAGCACCGGCUAACUACGUGCCAGCAGCCGCGGUAAUAC